GUGUGUAUAUUUAUUUAUUUAUGUGAAUUGUUCUAAAUUAUGCGUUUAUGUUUUAUUAGUGUUAUACAAGUUUUUCGAGCACAAAGAGGAAGUCAAGUACCAAAGAGUAAAGCCAACAACAUCACAUGGAUUCGAGUGGAGUGUCCUGAGCAGCGUAAUGAAGUAGAUUGCGAUUUUUACAUGUUGCAGUUUAUGAAAGAAAUUAUUCUUUUAAAUCAAAUAGAGAUUCCGUCCAAGUACUUUGAUGACUUCAAGUGUACGACUUACUCAAGAUCUAAGUUGGAUGAACUUAAGGAGGAAUGGUGUCAAUUCAUGAUUGAGUUGAAAGUUGUAUAGGAUAUUGAAGGGUAAAAAGGUUACAGUUGCUGGCAAGAAGAAAAAGUAGAUAUUUAGCAUCCUUUUGACUUGUGUAACAAAUAACAAUGUUUUGGAUGAUGCAAUUGUUUUUAUUGAAUUGGAUGUAAUUUUGUUGUUGUUUAUUAAUAUAUUCUUA